ACAUACGACCAUACCCACUAGAGAACUCGGGAUCCCGUCCGCUCUCCCAUAGAUAAGCUGGUGAGGGGCCAACUAGUAGUUGGGUCGGUGACGACCAGCGAAUCCUGGCUGUUGUAUGUU
rnacentral:rRNA from 1 species